rnacentral:rRNA from 1 species
CGGGUUAAUUCUAAAAUACCUGAGUAGUAACAGAUAUAUUCUAAAAAUUUGAAAAAUUUGGCGGUGGUUUAGUCUUGUCAGAGGAACCUGUCUUUUAAACGAUACACCACGAAAUAUCUUACUUGAGUUCGUGCAGUAUGUAUACCAUCAUUAUUAGGUAAUUUUUAUAGAAUAAAUUACUGAAAAAUGUCGAUAAUGUCGAAUAUAUUAGAUCAAGGUGCAGCUAAUGCUCAAGUUAAGAUGGGUUACAAUAGUAUCUAUACUAUUACGGAUAAGUAAGUGAAACUUUACUUUGAAGGAGGAUUUGAUUGUAAUUUUAGUUUAAUAAGCUAAUUUGAUAUAAGCUCUAAAGCAUGUACACACCGCCCGUCACCCCUCCACAAUAGGGAUGGGAGCGUAGUUUCUUUGGGAGUGCUUAUCAAAGAUGUUAUUUUGCGACCUCGAUGUUGAAUUAAAAUGUCUUUAUAGUGCACCACCUAUACAAGAAGGUCUGUUCGACCUUUAAUUUAAUACAUGAACAGGCCCCAAAAACGGGAU